GAUGAACGCUAGCGGCAGGCUUAAUACAUGCAAGUCGAGGGGCAGCAUGACUGUAGCAAUACAGUUGAUGGCGACCGGCAAACGGGUGCGGAACACGUACGCAAUCUACCCAAAACUGAUGAAUAGCCCUCCGAAAGGAGGAUUAAUACAUCGUAACCCAAUUGAAUGGCAUCAUUUAAUUAGUAUAGCUCCGGCGGUUUUGGAUGAGCGUGCGCCNGAUUAGGUAGUUGGCGGGGUAACGGCCCACCAAGCCUGCGAUCAGUAACUGGUGUGAGAGCACGACCAGUCACACGGGCACUGAGACACGGGCCCGACUCCUACGGGAGGCAGCAGUAAGGAAUAUUGGUCAAUGGACGCAAGUCUGAACCAGCCAUGCCGCGUGAAGGAUGAAGGUCCUCUGAUUGUAAACUUCUUUUGAAUGGGACGUAAACCCUUUUAUUCGUAAGAGAUUGACGGUACCAUUAGAAUAAGCACCGGCUAACUCCGUGCCAGCC
rnacentral:rRNA from 1 species